UGACCUCAAAUCAGGUAGGACUACCCGCUGAACUUAAGCAUAUCAAUAAGCGGAGGAAAAGAAACUAACAAGGAUUCCCCUAGUAACUGCGAGUGAAGCGGGAAAAGCUCAAAUUUAAAAUCUGGCGGUCUUUUGGCUGUCCGAGUUGUAAUCUAGAGAAGUGUUAUCCGCGCUGGACCGUGUACAAGUCUCCUGGAAUGGAGCAUCAUAGAGGGUGAGAAUCCCGUCUUUGACAUGGACUGCCAGGGCUUUGUGAUGCGCUCUCAAAGAGUCGAGUUGUUUGGGAAUGCAGCUCAAAAUGGGUGGUAAAUUCCAUCUAAAGCUAAAUAUUGGCGAGAGACCGAUAGCGAACAAGUACCGUGAGGGAAAGAUGAAAAGAACUUUGGAAAGAGAGUUAAACAGUACGUGAAAUUGCUGAAAGGGAAACGCUUGAAGUCAGUCACGUCGUCCAGGGAUCAACCUUGCUUUUGCUUGGUGCACUUUCUGGUUUGACGGGUCAGCAUCAAUUUUGACUAUUGGAAAAAGGCUCUAGGGAAUGUGGCAUCUUCGGAUGUGUUAUAGCCCUUGGUCAUAUACAAUGGUUGGGAUUGAGGAACUCAGCACGCCGCAAGGCCGGGUUUUAUACCACGUACGUGCUUAGGAUGC
rnacentral:rRNA from 1 species